rnacentral:rRNA from 1 species
AGAAUCAACGCUGGCGGCGUGCCUAACACAUGCAAGUCGAACGAGAAAGUGGAGCAAUCCAUGAGUAAAGUGGCGACCGGGUGAGUAACACGUGACUAACCUACCUUCGAGUGGGGGAUAACCUCGGGAAACCGGGGCUAAUACCGCAUAACAUCUUUGGAGUGGAAAUUUCGGAGAUCAAAGGGGCAAUUCGCUUGAAGAGGGGGUCGCGGCUGAUUAGCUAGUUGGCGGGGUAACGGCCCACCAAGGCUUAGAUCGGUA